rnacentral:rRNA from 1 species
CCUACGGGCGGCAGCAGUGAGGAAUAUUGGUCAAUGGGCGCGAGCCUGAACCAGCCAAGUAGCGUGAAGGAUGACUGCCCUAGGGGUUGUAAACUUCGUUUAUAAAGGAAUAAAGUGAGGCUCGCGAGCCUUUUGUAUGUACUUUAUGAAUAGGGAUCGGCCAAGUCCGUGCGAGCAUCAGCGGUAAUACGCUGGAUCCGAGCGUUUUCCGGAUUUAGUGGGGUUAAAGGGAGCGUAAGUGGGUUGCUAAGUGAGUUGGGAAAGUUUGCGGCUCAACCGUAAAAUUGGAAUUGAUACUGGCUGUCUUGAGUGCAGUUGAGGUAGGCGGAAUGCGUGGUGUAGCGGUGAAAUGCUUAGAUAUUACGAAGAACUCCGAUUGCGAAGGCAGCUUACUAGCCUGCCACUGACAUUGAUGCUCGAAAGUGUGGGUAUCAAACAGGAUUAGAUACCCUGGUAGUC